GAAGAAGAAAGAAGAAAGAGAGGGUUGGCCGUUAGAAACAAGACAGAAUUUUUCUUUUCUUUUUCUGCAGACCCACACAUUCUUGCUUUCUCUCAAUUUUUUUGUACUGAUUUUUACAAUAACAACGAUGA
rnacentral:ribozyme from 13 species